AGAGGCUUAGGUUAACCAAGACCGAGGGCCUUCAAAGCCCUAAGUAAAUAGUGACUAUUUAGCCCCUG
rnacentral:tRNA from 1 species